rnacentral:rRNA from 1 species
UAGUGCUGCAGCUAACGCAUUAAGCACUCCGCCGUGGGGAGUACGGCCGCAAGGUUGAAANUCGAAGGAAUUGAACGGGGGCCCGCACAAGCGGUGGAGCAUNUGGUCUAAUUCGAAGCAACGCGAAGNACCUUACCAGNUCUUGACAUCCCNAUGACCGCUCUAGAGAUAGAGUUUUCCCUUGCGGGGACAUUGGUGACAGCUGGUGCAUGGUNGUCGUCAGCUCGUGUCGUGAGAUGUUGGGNUAAGUCCCGCAACGAGCGCAACCCUUGAUCUUANUUGCCAUCAUUUAGUCGGGCACUCUAAGGUGACUGCCGGUGACAAACCGGAGGAAGGUGGGGAUGACGUCNAAUCAUCAUGCCCCUUAUGACCUGGGCUACACACGUGCUACAAUGGACGAUACAAAGAGUCGCUAACUCGUCGAGGGUAUGCUAAUCUCAUAAAAUCGUUCUCAGUUCGGAUUGUAGGCUGCAACUCGCCUANCAUGAAGCCUGGAAUCGNCUAGUAACUCGUGGAUCAGCAUGUC